GUUGCAACAUCAAGCUGAAAGGUAAGGCACAAAGUCAAUAAUUUUAUUAAAAAAAAAAAGACACCAGCAAUAAUAAUAAAGCAAAAACUCAUUUUAAAAAUGAUAAUACUUCAGAUACCUACCUAUUCACAGAGAAAGAAACUGUAAAAUUAAAGCAGUUUAACAAUAACAACAGAUGAUUGAUCUCCACAAAGCAAUUUCAGUCAUCAAAUAACAAAUAUAAGAAAACAAGAAUUUAACUCAGAUCAGGAGGUAUUUGCAAGAUGGGGAAAGAAAAA
rnacentral:misc_RNA from 1 species